UGGAAGUAAAAAAGUCGUAACAAGGUUUCCGUAGGUGAACCUGCGGAAGGAUCAUUACCGAGUGAGGGCCCUCUGGGUCCAACCUCCCACCCGUGUUUAUUUUACCUUGUUGCUUCGGCGGGCCCGCCUUAACUGGCCGCCGGGGGGCUCACGCCCCCGGGCCCGCGCCCGCCGAAGACACCCUCGAACUCUGUCUGAAGAUUGAAGUCUGAGUGAAAAUAUAAAUUAUUUAAAACUUUCAACAACGGAUCUCUUGGUUCCGGCAUCGAUGAAGAACGCAGCGAAAUGCGAUACGUAAUGUGAAUUGCAAAUUCAGUGAAUCAUCGAGUCUUUGAACGCACAUUGCGCCCCCUGGUAUUCCGGGGGGCAUGCCUGUCCGAGCGUCAUUGCUGCCCUCAAGCCCGGCUUGUGUGUUGGGCCCCGUCCUCCGAUCUCCGGGGGACGGGCCCGAAAGGCAGCGGCGGCACCGCGUCCGGUCCUCGAGCGUAUGGGGCUUUGUCACCCGCUCUGUAGGCCCGGCCGGCGCUUGCCGAUCAACCCAAAUUUUUAUCCAGGUUGACCUCGGAUCAGGUAGGGAUACCCG
rnacentral:rRNA from 1 species